AAAAUUAAGUUAUGCUUACGAUGAUUACGCAUUUUCUACAAAAAUGAAACACACCAUACAACCAUAACAACAGGUUACAACAAAAGUCAUAAAUACAUUUCUAUGUAAACAAAAACAGAUUUUUUUUAACGUAAAGCAUACACAUAACCGCACAGCCUUUAGAACGUCCAAACCAUAAAAGCAAGUUAUAAUCAUACAUAAACAUAACAAAUGCCUUUAAGUCCCUUAGAUAAGACACAAACAUUAACCCUUGACUCAAUGUCAGAGGCAAUAGGAGAUUAAAGUCGAAUAAUUACCAAAGGAACGGGAAAGGAUUCCAAAAAUUGCCAUGAAGUUCAGGUAAUGUUGGAAUGCGGACAUUGUGUACUUCGUCAGAUUGCAUCAUUAUAUAACACAAAUGGGAAUACCUAUAAUAGAUAUACGUGGGCCAUAUGUUUUAACUCAUUAAAGUCGGUGGUAUAACUAGCCUCAACUAGUAGAAUUAGUCAUUUAGUUGACUUCUUUGUGCUUGCCAUGUUCACGAUGGGGAAUGAUUUUUCCGUCAGUCAAAAUUUUAGUGACAACAUCAACGUCCUUGCUAGUACCAAAGGUAUUCUCAAGUUCUUGUUUGGAAGCAGUAAUUAAUUGACCUUCGUUACCUUUGUUGUUGCUAGUUGUAAAAACUUGAAAAGAGUCGACGAUCUCAGUUAAGGGAACAGUCUUGUCCUUGCGCCAUCUCAUGACAUCGGGACCGUUUGAGGCGAUGAUAAUAAAGGUAGUAUCCUCAGGUUGGUAACAAACACGGGUUUGGUUGGCCUUAGAGCUAGACAUUUUGGAAGUAUUGAUAAAUAUAUUAAUAGACGGUUGGACAAUGCAAAAAAAUAAAAUUUAAUAGUCUUGUGAAAAGAGAGAACAAACUAUAGAAUUAUCCAAAUACAAACAAACAAUUCUUAUUUUUGUGUGAAACGAUGCUCAACUAGGUUGGGAAAGGAAGUCCUUUUAUAGUAUUAGAUUUGGGUGGAAUAAAUGCAUUUUCCAUCAAUAUGUCUAAACGUAAGUCUCUAACAGCGUCAUAACAUAUUUACAUCAUUACUAUGGGAAGCGAAUAAUGACAUCAGGCGAUAUGUUUGUUUACCGUGUGUUAAAUCCUUACAGUAAAAUAAUUAACGCACGAUAGCACCUUUUGUCCUACACUACUUCAUUACUCUCUCUGGUGCCCGACUUUUGUUUAGAGAUGG